rnacentral:lncRNA from 1 species
CUCCGUCUCAUGCUACCACUAGAGUGAAAGCACCGCCAGCAUUCAAAAGUGACCAAAACAUCAGCCAGGAAGCAUAGGAACUGAGAAGUGGUCUGUGGUCACCACCUGAAGAACCACUCCUUUAUUGGGGGUGUCUUGCUAAUUGCCUAUAAUUUCCACCUGUUGUCUAUCCCAUUUGCACAGCAGCAUGUGAAAUUGAUUGUCA